rnacentral:rRNA from 1 species
AUUGAACGCUGGCGGCAGGCCUAACACAUGCAAGUCGAACGAGUGGCGGACGGGUGAGUAAUGUCUGGGAAACUGCCUGAUGGAGGGGGCUAACUACUGGAAACGGUAGCUAAUACCGCAUACCAUCGGAUGUGCCCAGAUGGGUUUAGCUAGUAGGUGGGGUAACGGCUCACCUAGGCGACGAUCCCUAGCUGGUCUGAGAGGAUGACCAGCCACACUGGGACUGAGACACGGUCCAGACUCCUACGGGAGGCAGCAGUGGGGAAUAUUGGACAAUGGGCGCAAGCCUGAUGCAGCCAUGCCGCGUGUGUGAAGAAGGCCUUCGGGUUGUAAAGUACUUUCAUCGAGGAGGCGUUAUCCGAAGAAGAAGCACCGGCUAACUCCGUGCCAGCAGCCGCGGUAAUUC